CAGGGGUUGGGCCAUCGCAUGUCGGAGGAGCUGAGAGAGAGCAGGGGUUGGGCCAUCGCAUGUCGGAGGAGCUGAGAGAGAGCAGGGGUUGGGCCAUCGCAUGGCCGAGGAGCUGAGAGAGAGCAGGGGUUGGGCCAUUACAUGUCCGUGGAUUCGGGGAGGGCCGCGUGGGGCCGCUCCUCGGAGCCAUCGGCCAGCAGGAAGGAGUCCACCGACUUGUUGCUCAGGCGGAAGGGCGUCAGGCGGCGGAAGUUGUCAGGAGAGUGGGGGAUCUGCACGCGGGCCCUCUGGGAGGGUACCACCGUCUCCCCGGGAGACAGCCACGGCGGCAGCCUGGCCAGGACGCUCGGGGCCAGGUCCUCGUCCGGAGAAAACACAGGGUUGUCAAUUCCUAGGAGAAAGGGCAGUGGCUGGUCAGCCUCCCGGGAGCACCCUGCACGGUGGCAGAAGGGGACGCCACUGCGGGCUCAGACGCCAGCUGGUCCUGCGGCCGUCACCUGCAAGGUCACCUGGAAGCUUGGUGGACUUGAAGGACUCCAGGCGCUUGCGCAUGGUCCUGUGGAAGAUCUCCUUGUCCUGCUUCUCGUCCUCGGUCGGAGUCAGCUCAUGCCGGCUGUAGAGGUACUGCUGCAGCGUGUGGUGGGUGACCAUGUCCUCGGUGUCUCGGAUGCUGCGCCGCCGCUGCUCCAGGGACUGCAUGUCCAGACACACCGCGCUGACGUUCUCCCGCCUGCGUGGGGGCAGCGCUGAGCCCCAGGUAACCGUGACGGGGCCUCCUGCCUGUGCCUCGCCCUCCCAGGACACCUGGGCACUUGGGCCCCAGGACACCUGCACACUUGGGCCCCAGGACACUUGGGCCCCAGGACACCUGGGCACUUGGGCCCCAGGACACCUGGACUUGGGCACCAGGACCCCUGGGCACGCCGUAGCCGUGGAGCCUGGGGCCGGUGGGGCAGCGGAUCCGAAUUCGGGGCCGGUCCAGGCCUCUCCCAUCUGGGCAGACGGUGAGACCCCAGGCCCUGGCCUGCUGCCGUCCCCUCCCUUCCCGCCACCCUCCCGUGUCUCCCGUGGCUGCGACAUGGACGUGAUCUCACUGCUGCCCGAGAGAGGGGCGCCUGGCCCCCUCCUGCACCCCCCGGGGCAUCCAGCCGGGGCCCUGCUGCCCCCACUAGGACUCUCAGCUCCCCCAGGGCCAGGGGAGGUGCCCGGCAGGCGCCCGCUCUGCGCAGGCGGGUGUGCAGCCCUGGGCACGUACAGCAGGUAGGAGACGGAGGCCUCCACGGUGGACGGCCGCGGCGUGCUGAAGUCCACGUUGACCAUGUUGUCGGUGCUCGGGGAGCGGAUAAAGGCCAGGGACCCGCGGCGCUCGCCCUGCGUGACAGACGCCUCGUCAGCGCCCGGGGCCCUGGGCCCGCAGGCAGCACCUGCCCUCACAGGGUGCAGCUCUGGGGGGGCCCUGGCCAGCCCUCUCGGGGUGACAGCAGGCUGCGUGCGAGGCAGUAACACUUCCUACUGGGCGCUGGGAAGUGUCUGGGGAGCUGCCAAUGCCGUGGAAUUAGGAAGGCGGCUCCUGGCUGCAGACUCCAAACCCCACCUCGUUCCCCAGGCAAGGGAAGCCCCAGCCUCACACCCGUGACUAAGCUGCCCGAAGCAGAGGGCAGAGUCCCCAUGGGGGGGUCGUCCUCUGACCUGCCCGCAGGACAGAAGGGCGUGAGGCCAGCGGAGCAGCACAGGCCAGGGCCCAGGGUGCCCAGGACACACAGGGCAGAGAGGGGCCUCACUCUGUCGCCCAGACUGGCCUCAAACUCCUGGCUCAAGCGAUCCUCCUGCCUCGGCCUCCCAGAGUGCUGGGAUGACAGGCACAAGCCACCGCGCCCAGCCUGUGACCCCAUCGUCCUCUCCGAUGCACCAGGCGAAUGCAAGGGCCAGGUGCAGCUGCGGGUGGCUCCAAGCCCACAGCGGGGACCACGGCCACACAAGGCCCAGAGUUUUGCAUCAGACUUUCUUAACCCAGGGUGUUGGAGGGCCCCGAGUCUCACGUGACCUGGGCAGGUCACCAAGGACAGCAUGGGGCUCCCUGCCUGCCCUCCAGCACCCACAGCCCGGACCACGGUGGGCCACGCCGUGUCCAGCAAAGCGAGUGGCGGCCCUGGUACCUCAGCCACGUAGCUGAUGGCAUCCUUCAGGUUCAGCUCGUGGAAGACAUUCAGGAUCCGGUCCCGGGACUUCUGAGCCGACUGUCUCAUGAGGACUUUGCUGAGGAACUUCCUGUCAAAGUUGGACCACCUGGGGACAGAGGGCACAGCGUGGUGGCGCGGUGAGGCAGAGCUGGGUCGCAGGCCGGCCACGACACACCCUUUCUCCCCUGGAUUGUCUCUGCUGCAGCGACCCCGGCGGAGCCGUCAGCCCCACGCCGCUGUGUCAUACCCUGCGCCUCCUGCUUGACGGCUGCCGUCACUAGAAUGUCCGUUUCUCGUCUGCUACCACGGUGGGAGCAGCUGCCAAGCCAUCACGUCCCUUACAAGGUGGCGUCAGGACAGGCAGGUGCCAGGGAGGGCAGGGGCUCUGGCUGGGGGGCCGUGUUGCCGGCACAGAAGGAAAGGCCGGGAGAGCGGCCCCCACGGUGCUGUCAGCCGUGGGGACAGCGAGUGACCAGAGUGUGGCUGUCCUCCCCUAACAGAGCUGGACUCUUUCCCGGCUGUCUGGGUCAGGGUGGCCUGGUCGGACUCAGAGGGGAACUUGGGGGACCCGGGGCAGGGAGGUCCUGUCCUUCCUGGAGACGGAGGGAGGCGCAGAGGGGAGGGUGGGCGAGGCCCCCGGGGGCUUUUGGAAUCGCACCGAGGACCCCCGUGUCCCUUCCUCUGACGGCGCUCUGCGCAGCCUCCCAGCUCCGCCAGGACGCCGCGGCUAGUCACGGCCCCUCGGAGACGCGGGGUCGGGGACCCCUGGGCACCUCGGAACCCAGUCACAGAACCCACCGGGGCUCUGCCUCAUGGAAACACCGUCACGCCUUCUGCGCCUUCGGAGUAAUUAGUUCGCAAACAGGAACCAAGUGUGAAUUUUAGGUGCUUUAGCUACUAGCACGGGGGACCCUCGGUCUCCCUAUUUCCAGCCCCAGCGUCCUGACAAUUCAGAAACCACCGGCCCGGCAGCGGCGUCGCGCUGAGCCCGGGCAGCGCUCCGGGCCCAGAGCCUGGAGACCUGGCGCGGCGCCCAGCCCACCUGGAGGAUGACGGUGAAGAAGACGACGAUGAUGGUGGUGCUGACGAACAGGUUCUUCUCCUUGACCUGGUUCUUGUCCAGGAGCACGACGAGCGCGUAGGCCACGGCCCCGCGCAGGCCGCCGUAGGACAAGACCACCUGGUCGAUGAGCUCCAGCUGCACCAUGCGGUAGCGGUUCAGGACCCAGGUCUGGAGGACCACGCCUGCGGGGUGGAGCGCUCAGCCCUGCCCCCGCGGCGUCCCCCGGGCCACCCCCAGGGUCCCCUCCAGGACAGCGUCUCGGUGGCCGAGCACGUGGGGUGGAGGGACAGCGGCACCCUGACCACGGUGUCCCCCGCCACGUCCCUUGGAGCUGCGCUCAAGCCCCGCAGGCGGGUCGCGUGCCUCUCACAGGCCUGAGCCACCCCCACUGCGCACGCGGCCCCGGGGGACAGGCCGGCUGGGACGUGGGGCCCUGCCUCUGCCCCCCUCCUGCCUUAUUGACCCUGUUCUUGGGGGUCCACAUCCAGAGUGAGUCAGUGGAAGGCCAGGUGGGUUCCCUCUGGGUUCCAGAACCUUCUGCCCCCGCCCACAGGCUGACACCAUCUUGUCCCUCUCUGCCCGUGGGCAGGGCCACGAGAAAGCCUGGACCCUCGGGGGGCCGGCACGGGCGGACUGUGGGGCGGGUGGCUCCCCGGGAGCUGCUCAUGGACGUGCCCGGCCACCGCCCGCCUCACCGAUGGCCCGGUACACGGAGAUGAAGACCAGCGUCAGGAGGAUGAAGGCCGUGUUCCACGUCCAGAUGAGGGGGUCCACGGCCGAGAUGCCCAGGAACAUGAAGAUGAUGGUCUCGGCGCUGCUGGCCAGCAUCUUCAUGGUGUAGCGCACGGUGGUGGCCGACUGCUCCGAGAUGUUGGCCUUCACGUACUUCUGGCAGCAGAUGCCGCAGAAGGUGAUGCUGUGGGCGGGCGUGGACGCCUCAGCGGGCGAGGCCCAGCCCCUGCCCGUCCCCAGGCCCCCGGCAGCCACUCGGCCCCGCCUGGGCCGCGUCCCCUCUGCAAGAGUCAGUGCCCAGCUGGCGCCCUGGAGGCGGCUGCCACAGGCUGUUCUGUGCCAACCCCGCGGGAACUCUGGGCAGACACGGGGGCACCGCGGGCCUCCCUGCCUGGGUGCGGGCUGCGACGGGCAGAGGACAGCACAGCGGGGCAGCUGGAGCCCUCACCACCCCUGGCAGAGCCACGCUGCAGCCAGCCACGGGCCGUGCCGCGCAAAGGCCGGCCCUCAAGUCCUGGCCCACAGGGAUGCUCCGCCCGCCCGGCCGCCGGCCUGGGAGGGGGACUCACGCCAGGAUGGCCGACAGGGACAGCAUUUCCGACGUCAGGUAGGACAGGUAGGAGAUGACGAAGACGAAGCCGGGCUCGAUGAUGCGCACGUGCUUGGUGAAGCGAGUCACCAGUGACAGCAGGAAGGCGAAGGCCACCCCCAGCAGCGUGCCCCCCAGGCUGACCACGAAGAAGGACACUGCGGGACAAGGAUGCCAGGGCUGAGGCUCCUGAAAAGCUCUUUGUGGCCGUGCGCGUGGGUGAGGCCGGCCAUCCUUCCGGGCCAUUCCGCACUGGGGGUUGCCUGGUGACCGUCCCCUGGAGGUGCCAAGAGCUCAGGAAACAAAGGGCCGGUUCUUCCUCCUCCAGGGCGAGGGCCUGGGGAGGGGGCAGCCCGCGGCCCAUCGUGAGGCCUCUGGCGGCCUCAGCCCCUGCCCAGGAGAGCCCGGGACCCCAGGACCACGUCCCUGUGUCUGGCUGCUCUGUGAGGGCUGCACACGGCCUGGCAGGCGGCUUGGGUGGCACCGCGUUUCCUGCAGGGGCCCCAGGAGAGGCCGUGGCCUGGGGGGGCUGCCUGCUCCCCACGGCGACGCACCUAUGCCCUUCACACAGUCCACGCCGGUCACCUGGUCACCUCCCAGCGCCACGAAAGCCGAGAACACGUCGUACAGGACCUGAGGAGCGGACAGACAAGCGGACCCUGGUCAGCCGUGGCCAGGGCCUGCACCUGCCCCGGCUGCCGGGGGCCAUCGGGAGGCCGUCACAGGGUGGGGAAGGCGGGACGCGUGAGGCAAGAGAACAUUCCGGAGGAGGCAGACACGAGGGCAGCGCUGGCCUCAGCCCACCCACAGGACGUCAGGGUCAGCACAAAGCCGACCUGCUGCGUCCGCUUCUCAGCCCCGUCCACUGAGGCAGACCGUGGGGGCGCGGCCUGCAGGCUUCGCGUGCUGCUGCUUGAACCUCAUCCCGUGACGGCGCGUGGAGCCAGCUCUGUUUUCUGAGCCGCGCUCUCCUCCAUGGGCGCUGGGGCUCCAGGCCAAGGGGCGGCACAGGCUGGGGGCUGCCCCGGGGUGGCCGUGGCCCUGGGAAAAAGUGGCCUCUGCACCUCUGGGCCAGGCACUGUGCUCUCCAGCCUGUCGAGGGCUGGCGCCCAUCGGCUUCUUACUAAGGUGGCAACUCUGUGCCCCCAGGAAUUGCACAGUGCGCAUCCUAGGCCACUGUGGUAGGACAGCAACGUUCCUCAUGACAUUUCUAUUCGCUUUAUGUCGCGUUCAUGGGUGUGGGCCUCGGGGACAUCGGCCCCCUGGUGCCCACGGGGCUCCCAAGGGAGCCCUUACAACACUUGGGGUCCGCUACCAGCACCCGCACAGCCUUCCUUCCCUGAGUCCUGCCAUGGUGUGAAUCGUGAGCCCGCAGUUCCUACGCAUCGACCCUGGGCCUGGGGGCACCAGUGUCUCCAUGCCCAGCACCCUGCAGUCCCGGGCCUGCCGCCCACUCACCACGGUGACAGCGUCGUUCAGCAGCGACUCCCCGAAGACGAUGAUGAACAGCACCUCGUUGACGUGGACCUCCUCGAACACGGCCAGACGGCCACCGGGUCCACCGCAGCAAUGAGGCUGCCGAACAGGAGGAAGUCCAGCACCCCGGCCUGCAGCUCACCUGGGGGACAGCGAGGGGGGGGCCAUGGGGCGGCCACAGCACCUGCCGCCCGCGGG